UCUGUUUCAGGUACCUAGAAGCGAUCUAUAACCAUGUCUUCUUCCAGCAGUCACACAAUCGAUUGCAUGUUUGAUUCGCCCGCAAGCUCGACAGUCCUUGUGUAUUCAACUCUUGAGGUCCGAGGAAAUCAUCGCGCGAAGCUUGGACCCCAACACGGUAGGCUCUUCCGACCCCUCGAUAUAGUUGACUCAAUCUAGGCAGUCUCUAGUUCAUAGGCUGCGAAGAAAGCCACAAUCCUCGAUCACCGUCUGGGAUUUGGAGAGCAUAAGAGCGGUUUAUGCACCGCAACUUAAUUUGAUGGUUUCGGUGGACUUUUCUCAAAAGAAUCCCCUGCCCGGAUGGGUGGCGAUCUUUGAGACCAUCCGAAGAUGCAAGCGUAUAUGAUCGCUGAAUUGGGUAAGCCAUCCGUCAAGGAGCUUGUCCAUCUGUAUAGGCUUAAGAAAGGGCAAGACUAGACAUACUACCUUUCCAAGGUGAGGAAGAUACGUUUCAACAAGCUGGUCGAUGUCCCAAAGAAGGUCUCGCACUAGGACUCACAAUCUUUCUUCUACGAAGCCCAGGAGACCAGCGCGUUCACUUAGAAAUCAAUUAACGUCGAACAGAACUAUCUCCCUAUCGCGAGCUUGUAGAGGCUCCAGCAUUUCAGGGACCUUCCUGAUGGACAAUGUAGCGUUAACGAGAUCAUUACGCUCCCUCGCCUGCAAGCAUACAAUUUCUGUUGGGACAAUGCCAGAUUUCUUAUGAUUUUGGAGAAAGGUUAAGUUAUCGUUUACUCGCACUUUUUUCCUAUGCAGAUAAGUCGUUCACUAUUUGUCACUUUUUUUGCAAAGAUAUGGGCUGAGAAACUAAAAGGCCCAAAAAAGAAGACUGCAGCUUCGGCGACUGCUAAGAAAACAUCGGCUGCUUUGGCGACGAAGCUGCCCACUGACGUCACUGGCAUGAAAUGCGAAGCGAAAAAGCCCAUGACUGCCCUAAAGGCAAUUGGCGGGAAGAACGUCUUCGAGCCCUAAAAGGGGUUGGUAAAGAAAACACUCAAGCUGAUUGGAGGCUCGAGAAAACAAAGGACACUCGAGCAGUAAGAUAGCUCAAGUAAGAAGAAAUCGACCUAGCCUCUAGAGGGCUCGGGCAAACAAAAAGUGGUCGAGCAGCAGGUUGGCUCAGGCAAAGAGGUUGCCAUGCAUGCUAGAGACCUAAAGAAAGUAGCAACCAAGGACUUGGCCAAGAAGAAGUCCACCUCUGUGGGCAAGGCUGGCACUAGAGGUGUUCAAAAGAACCGAUUGGAACUGGAACCAAUGGAUACCCAAGGUUUGAUUCCGAUUCCUACCCGGAACCGACUGCCAACGGGUAGGUUCCAGUUCUAAAUUUUUGGAAUCGUUACUGUGUGAUUCCGGUUCUAGUUCCUAUAAUUAAGAAUCAGAACCAGGAACCAAGACUAAUAUAUAAUAAAAUUAAAGAGUAGGGGGGUUAAUAAAAACUUUUGUAGAAAAAGUUAU